UCCAACGCCCAGGCCCCAGCGCCGACCCCCGCGCGGAUAUAUCUGCGGAUAUCCGUUACCCGCGGGUAACGGAUAUGGAUACGUUUUGCUAUCCGUUGCGGGUAUUGGGUAUAGGUUCGGGUAUAGUUUUUAGGUCACAGGUAUGGAUAUUCAGAGGUAAUAUCCGUGGACAGUUUAUCCGUUGCUAUCUUUAAUUGCUGCACGCCCCACCAUCACCCUAACCCCACAAGAAAAAGAAGGUGAGCACAUGCAGCAGUAUCAUUGUACCAUCUGCGAGCUGGUUGGCCGGAGUGGAUGGUAACGCUCAAGAUCAAGCUGCAACAACGGUUUCUUUCAAAAG